AACGAACGCUGGCGGCAGGCCUAACACAUGCAAGUCGAGCGCCCCGCAAGGGGAGCGGCGGACGGGUGAGUAACGCGUGGGAACGUACCCUUUGCUACGGAAUAGCCUCGGGAAACUGGGAGUAAUACCGUAUGUGUCCUUCGGGAGAAAGAUUUAUCGGCAAGGGAUCGGCCCGCGUUGGAUUAGGUAGUUGGUGGGGUAAUGGCCUACCAAGCCGACGAUCCAUAGCUGGUUUGAGAGGAUGAUCAGCCACACUGGGACUGAGACACGGCCCAGACUCCUACGGGAGGCAGCAGUGGGGAAUCUUAGACAAUGGGCGCAAGCCUGAUCUAGCCAUGCCGCGUGAGUGAUGAAGGCCUUAGGGUUGUAAAGCUCUUUCAGGGGGGAAGAUAAUGACUGUACCCCCAGAAGAAGCCCCGGCUAACUCCGUG
rnacentral:rRNA from 1 species